CGAGCUCUUGAAGUUUUUUAAGAAAACCCUACUUAAGGGAUAGCAAGUCUGUCUCUAACGGCUGACCACGGAGGUACUGGCAGCCGUUAUCGAGACUGAUCGAGGAAGGUCGGUGCGAGUUUCGCCCGGCCUUUUUUCUU
rnacentral:sRNA from 1 species